AAUGAACGCUGGCGGCGUGCGUAACACAUGCAAGUCGAACGAGAAAUUCCGGGCUUGCUCGGGAGAGUAAAGUGGCGGACGGGUGAGUAACGCGUAAGUAAUCUACCCCUGUAUUCGGAAUACCCCACCGAAAGGUGAGCUAAUACCGGAUACGUUUAUCUUGAUGCGAAUGAUGAUAAAGAAAGGUGGCCUCUUCUUGAAAGCUACUGUACAGGGACGAGCUUGCGUACCAUUAGCUAGUUGGUAGGGUAAUGGCCUACCAAGGCGACGAUGGUUAGCGGGUCUGAGAGGAUGAUCCGCCACACUGGAACUGGAACACGGACCAGACUCCUACGGGAGGCAG
rnacentral:rRNA from 1 species